rnacentral:rRNA from 1 species
UGAGGGAAUAUUGGUCAAUGGGCGAGAGCCUGAACCAGCCAAGUAGCGUGCAGGAAGACGGCCCUAUGGGUUGUAAACUGCUUUUAUAGGGGAAUAAAGUGAGCCACGUGUGGUUUUUUGCAUGUACCCUAUGAAUAAGGACCGGCUAAUUCCGUGCCAGCAGCCGCGGUAAUACGGAAGGUCCGGGCGUUAUCCGGAUUUAUUGGGUUUAAAGGGAGCGCAGGCGGAGGUGCGAGCGUGCCGUGAAAGCGCGGGGCUCAACCCCGUACAGCGGCGCGAACUGCUCCCUUGGUUGCGGGAAGGAAGGCGGAACUCGUGGUGUAGCGGUGAAAUGCAUAGAUAUCACGAAGAACUCCGAUCGCGAAGGCAGCCUUCCGGCCCGUCA